rnacentral:lncRNA from 1 species
UUUGGUCAUGUUUGGUUUGAACUACCAUUCUCUUUUAAAAUAUGUGAUCUUUGCAAUUUUAGAUGAGGGGAUGGAAGAAUGUGUUUUUCAGUAGAUUAAAAAUGAAAGGUAAUUGAUUUAAGAAUUGUUGUGACUCUCAUUGAUAUAUUAUUUAUGAAAUUGUAUGUUUGCCUCACAAGGUUGGUUUGGAAAAAGUCAUUUUUUUUUUCUUUUUUUUUCGGAGCUGGGGACCGAACCCAGGGCCUUGCGCUUGCUAGGGAAGCACUCUACCGCUGAGCUAAAUCCCCAACCCCUGGAAAAAGCCAUUUUUUUAAUUGAGGCACACAAGUGCACACCUGUAGUUCCAGCACAGAGAGGUAGGGCAGGAGGAACUUAGGCUCAGAGUCACUGGGGUACAUUUAUCAACACCCCCCCCCAUCCCCAGUAAAACAAAACAGGCU